GUGGGUAUAGCUCAGUGGUAGAGCGCAUACUUGAGCUCCUGGGUUCGAUCCCCAGUGUCUCCA
rnacentral:tRNA from 1 species